rnacentral:lncRNA from 1 species
AAAUUGUAAACAAACACAGAUGGAGAUAGCCGUCGUGCUUCCCCCUUCCCGCGGCGAAAUCUCUCUCUCUGAAAUUUCGCUGCCGCGGUUCUUCGGUGGCGUCAGUCGCUGCUUCUGAAUCCGACGAUGCCCAUUUGAUGGCCAUAUCGCAAAACCCCAUUUCAAAAUUUUGAAAACCCUAAAAUAUGGAGAGUUGUUGCCUCGUCAGUGACGUAGGGCUGAAGGCAGUGGAGGAGCUCGCUUUGGUGUCGUGUGAUGGGUUAGAAGAGGUGAGGUUGAGGGGCUGUGGCAGAUCGAGCGACGAGGCGGUGAUUGUGAUGGUGAGGAGUUGCAGGAAUUUGAGCGGUGAAAAUUAAGGCGGUGAGGCAGACAUGGAUGAGAGGUUGUGCGUCCAGGGGUGGCGGUGGUGGUGGACAAUUCAACACACACACACAUACACACAGAGACAAUGAGGGCGGUGGAAAUCGAGGCGGCGACGGUGGCCUAUUUUGUUGCUGUUUGCAAAUGGAGAUUGGGGGCCGUUGUUUGUAGAUGGAGAUUGACAAACAUGGCUUUUGUACCUCAAUUCCAUAUGAUUUGUUGUCAUUUCUCUUCGUAUUUUGCUUGUCAAUGCAUGUUUGUACCCUAGUGUUGAGAUUUAUGACGAUUUGAUGUUUGGUUAUAGAUUUUGUGUGAUUUUAGGGAAAAUCAAAGAUAAAUUUGAUAAUUGUGAAAACAUGAGGUUGAAGUACAUCUUGAGAGGAAUCCAUAAGCGCAAACGGGGACCAAAUCAGAGUUCGAACGAGGGAGAACGGAG